AUGUUGGAUGGCUCUUUUUACCAGAUAAUGGAGGGGAUGAUGUACUGCUAAGUGAAGAGUUUAUUAGAAAUUGUGUAGACAUGUUCUCUGUUCCAUCAAAAGGGUGUGAGACAAACUUACGAGUUUGUUCCUUAUAAUUGAUCCACUAAAAGAGAACGACAACCUUGGCCGAAGUGUCAAUAGAGGCAGCUUCUAUAAAAAAUGUAGUGCUUAUAAAUAUGGAGCUCGCAAGCUAGGCUAGAUUCUCUUGUUACCAGCAGAGAAUAUCAGAUGAACUUAACAAGUUUUUUGCCACACUUUGGAUAGGCAUGAAAGUAAAUGCCAGACUACUGUGCAAAAUAAUGCCUUGUUGGAGCUUGGUGAAGAGUUGGAGUUGAUACCAGUAAAUGAAACAUCAACUAUGUCUCUUUGUGGUAGGUUUAAGCUUUGUAAGUUGCAAUAAGUUUCUUUGUUUUCGGAUAAGCUAGUGCAAUAAGUUGUAUUUACAUAUCUGUUACGACUUUAGAUUUUGAUCUAAUGUGAUGAUGUAUAUGAAUACAUUUGUAGACAUAAUUGAUCUAUU
rnacentral:lncRNA from 1 species